AUUGACUGUACUAAGGUAGCAUAAUAAUUUGUUUUCUAAUAGGGAACUUGUAUGAAAGAUUUAUUGAAAAAAAUAUUUUUUUAAAUUAAAUGUAUGAAAUUUUUUUUUAAGUGAAAAAACUUAAAUAAGUAUAAAAGACGAGAAGACCCUAUAAAACUUUAUUUAUAAUAUAAAAUAUAGAUAAUUUGAUUUUUAUAAAUUUAAUUGGGGAAAUUAUUAAAUUUUAUAAAUUUUAAAGUAAAUAUUUUUAUAUUUAAAUUUUAUAAUGAUCUUUAACUUAAGGAUUUAAGAUAAGUUGCUUUAGGGAUAACAGUAUAAUUUUUUUAUUAAGUUCUUAUAUAAAAAAAAGUUUAUUACCCCGAUGUUGGAUUAAAAUAUAUUAUUUAAUGAAGUUUUUAAAUAUUAUUAGUCUGUUCGACUAAAAUUUUUACAUGAUCUGAGUUUAAAUCGGUGUG
rnacentral:rRNA from 1 species